rnacentral:tRNA from 1 species
GCCGACGUAGCUCAGUGGUAGAGCAGGGGACUCAUAAGCCCUUGGUCAGUAGUCCGACUCUACUCGUCGGCA